CCUACGGGGGGCUGCAGUAGGGAAUAUUGGGCAAUGGUCGCAAGACUGACCCAGCCAUUCCGCGUGAAGGACGAAGGGUCUCUGACUUGUAAACUUCUUUAGCAGGGGAAGAAAAAGGGGGUGCGCCCCCAACUGACGGUACCCUGAGAAUAAGCACCGGCUAACUACGUGCCAGCAGCCGCGGUAAUACGUAGGGUGCAAGCGUUGUCCGGAUUUAUUGGGUUUAAAGGGUGCGCAGGCGGCCUGUUAAGUCAGCGUUUAAAGGCAGCCGCUCA
rnacentral:rRNA from 1 species